GUUGACCCAAAUAACAACAUCAUGGUUCCCUUCUUGGUCCUCUUUGUCUUUCGUACACAAUUUGACAGCAACCUGGAAAGUCAAAAAAACAUACAAUUAAUAUACAUAAAAGCUGAUGAAAUUUCCUUUCCACUAAGUACUAUUGUACUACAUGUUCAACUUGAAAGUAAAGAGCAUCAUGCAUGAAACAUAGACAACGAAUUAAUAUACAACCAACUUACUUUGAGAUGAAUAAAUUAUAUUUGCACGCAUGUAAACUUGGUAUCCUUACAGAAGUGUAACUAGAAAUAACCAAAGUUGAACAGGAGACAAGGACCAAAGUUUGGAGAAACAGUUGGAUGAUUGAACCAUUUCAUGACUAUGUUCACGUGAUUUAUAUCACAGGGUGAAAGAAAUAUUCUGCACUGAACGAUUAAUGUUAUGGUGUUAAACUAAAAAUAAUUAAUGUCGAGGUGCACAACAAGGAACAUAAACAAAUGUUUUAGCUAUAGUUGUGUUGCCUGCUACAGUCAUCUAGUUAAAACUUCACGACACUAACACCUUAAAGUUAUACUUUGACCAAACACCUCAAAGUAUUUUCAAAACUACAGUUUUUUUCUAGAAAAGACGACUAGUUUUCUUUUUUUUUCUUUUCUCUGGGGUAGAAAAGACUAGUGCGCCUCACUAUUAUAUUUAGAAAUGCAUCACAGAAAAACAUAUGUACUUCAGUGCCACAAAUUAUAUUAAAUUAAGUCAUUACUUUCAGAGAAGCAUAUGUAUUGCACAUACAAAUCUUCAUAGGUAUAAGAGCCAAAACCUUGAAACCAUUAGGUUACACAUCAGAAAAAUAAAUAUUAUAAAUACUAGAUUGACCUAGAAACAAGAUUCAGAAACAAAGAUUACAAAUUUGAGGGAUUAAAUAUAAAAAGAGGAGUAGGAUAGAGAAAAUGUGGACAGAUCAUUAGAAAGUAGGAAUAGUAGCACACCUAAUCCUGAAAAAUAGGGAUUGGCCUAACCGACGAAUGGAGCUGCCCGUGGUUAGGAGCUGCCCGUAGUUACAGAGCAAUGGAGGUACCUAGUUGAAUAAAGCGCAUGGCAACAACUUGUACAACUAAAAAAUAUUAGGUCAUAAAACACAUAAAUGGUAAACUAGGAACAGUGGCAUGUUGAAGUAUCUAUUUGUGUUUAAAGAAUGCAUGAUAUCAAUAUCAAACAAUGUCUAACAGUAUAAGAAAAUACCUUGUGGAAAUCCACACGUCAUUCAGAUCCCGCUGGUUAGUAGGUUUGGCCUCCUUCUUUUGCGAGGCACUGCUUUAAGUUAAAUGUUCACCAACAAUAUUAUACAGUUGAUGUCAUACAUUGUCCACACAAAGAAUAACUUGAAAAGGCAGAAUAAAAAAUGUACAAGUUCAAGAUAAGUUGCCGCUCAUCAAGGAAAAAACAAAAGAUUAUACAAGGUAUAUAUUUUGGUAGAUGUCAGGUUCGGUACUUUAUCAUGACAACUAGGAACUAAAGGUGUCGUGCUUAAUUCGUAUCUUAAUUUAUGUGUAGAGGCGAGAGCUGAAACUAAACCAAAAUCUCAAGUUUUUGUUUGCCUUAGAAUGUAUUAUUUCUACACACAUAAUUAUUGUUCUUGUAUAUGAUCCCAACUUCUCACA
rnacentral:lncRNA from 1 species